UACGUAGGGACCGAGCGUUGUCCGGAAUCAUUGGGCGUAAAGAGCGUGUAGGCGGCCUUCUAAGUCUGGUGUGAAAGCCCGGGGCUCAACCCCGGAAGUGCAUUGGAUACUGGGAGGCUGGAGUACCGGAGAGGAGGGUGGAAUUCCUGGUGUAGCGGUGAAAUGCGUAGAUAUCAGGAGGAACACCGGUGGCGAAGGCGGCCCUCUGGACGGAUACUGACGCUGAGACGCGAAAGCGUGGGGAGCAAACAGG
rnacentral:rRNA from 1 species